rnacentral:rRNA from 1 species
AACGAACGCUGGCGGCAUGCCUAACACAUGCAAGUCGAACGAGACCUCCGGGUCUAGUGGCGCACGGGUGCGUAACGCGUGGGAACCUGCCCUCAGGUUCGGAAUAACUCCCCGACAGGGGUGAUAAUACCGGAUAAUAGCUUCGGACCAAAGAUUUAUCGCCUUUGGAUGGGCCCGCGUUGGAUUAGCUCGUUGGUAGGGUAAAAGCCUACCAAGGCGACGAUCCAUAGCUGGUCUGAGAGGAUGAUCAGCCACACUGGGACUGAGACACGGCCCAGACUCCUACGGGAGGCAGCAGUGGGGAAUAUUGGACAAUGGGCGAAAGCCUGAUCCAGCAAUGCCGCGUGAGUGAUGAAGGCCUUAGGGUUGUAAAGCUCUUUUACCCGGGAUGAUAUUGACAGUACCGGGAGAAUAAGCUCCGGCUAACUCCGUG